rnacentral:tRNA from 1 species
GCGGGAGUAGCUCAGUUGGUAGAGCGCGACCUUGCCAAGGUCAAGGCCACGGGAUCAUACCCCGUUUCCCGCUCCA